UGCAACUUAGUUUACUUAGAACCAUCAACUUGCACUUGAUAAGAGAGGCUCCUCAGUCGCGG
rnacentral:tRNA from 1 species